rnacentral:rRNA from 1 species
GUGUUCCAGGUAAAUCCGGUUCACUUUAACACUGAGGCGUGAUGACGAGGCACUACGGUGCUGAAGCAACAAAUGCCCUGCUUCCAGGAAAAGCCUCUAAGCAUCAGGUAACAUCAAAUCGUACCCCAAACCGACACAGGUGGUCAGGUAGAGAAUACCAAGGCGCUUGAGAGAACUCGGGUGAAGGAACUAGGCAAAAUGGUGCCGUAACUUCGGGAGAAGGCACGCUGACACGUAGGUGAAGUGAUUUACUCAUGGAGCUGAAGUCAGUCGAAGAUACCAGCUGGCUGCAACUGUUUAUUAAAAACACAGCACUGUGCAAACACGAAAGUGGACGUAUACGGUGUGACGCCUGCCCGGUGCCGGAAGGUUAAUUGAUGGGGUCAGCGCAAGCGAAGCUCCUGAUCGAAGCCCCGGUAAACGGCGGCCGUAACUAUAACGGUCCUAAGGUAGCGAAAUUCCUUGUCGGGUAAGUUCCGACCUGCACGAAUGGCGUAAUGAUGGCCAGGCUGUCUCCACCCGAGACUCAGUGAAAUUGAACUCGCUGUGAAGAUGCAGUGUACCCGCGGCAAGACGGAAAGACCCCGUGAACCUUUACUAUAGCUUGACACUGAACAUUGAGCCUUGAUGUGUAGGAUAGGUGGGAGGCUUUGAAGUGUGGACGCCAGUCUGCAUGGAGCCGGCCUUGAAAUACCACCCUUUAAUGUUUGAUGUUCUAACGUGGACCCGUGAUCCGGGUUGCGGACAGUGUCUGGUGGGUAGUUUGACUGGGGCGGUCUCCUCCUAAAGAGUAACGGAGGAGCACGAAGGUUGGCUAAUCCUGGUCGGACAUCAGGAGGUUAGUGCAAUGGCAUAAGCCAGCUUGACUGCGAGCGUGACGGCGCGAGCAGGUGCGAAAGCAGGUCAUAGUGAUCCGGUGGUUCUGAAUGGAAGGGCCAUCGCUCAACGGAUAAAAGGUACUCCGGGGAUAACAGGCUGAUACCGCCCAAGAGUUCAUAUCGACGGCGGUGUUUGGCACCUCGAUGUCGGCUCAUCACAUCCUGGGGCUGAAGUAGGUCCCAAGGGUAUGGCUGUUCGCCAUUUAAAGUGGUACGCGAGCUGGGUUUAGAACGUCGUGAGACAGUUCGGUCCCUAUCUGCCGUGGGCGCUGGAGAACUGAGGGGGGCUGCUCCUAGUACGAGAGGACCGGAGUGGACGCAUCACUGGUGUUCGGGUUGUCAUGCCAAUGGCACUGCCCGGUAGCUAAAUGCGGAAGAGAUAAGUGCUGAAAGCAUCUAAGCACGAAACUUGCCCCGAGAUGAGUUCUCCCUGAGACUUUAGGUCUCCUGAAGGAACGUUGAAGACGACGACGUUGAUAGGCCGGGUGUGUAAGCGCAGCGAUGCGUUGAGCUAACCGGUACUAAUGAACCGUGAGGCUUAACCUUACA